GUUAAUAACACAGGUGUGAUACCAACAUCUCUAGUAUAACUUGUUCUCUGCCGCCGUUUGGUACCGUUAUGUUCAAUUCUAACGCUGCCAUUUUUUGUGAGCUUAACAAAUCAGGCAUAGGGGAGAUCAAGAGGAAUUCCACCUGCCUAGAGCAUAGUCGAUGACUUCGACGUCACCCGCGCCCACCCCAUGUUCGCUCGGGAGACCACGACGGCUAAAUCGUCGUCCGCUUCGUCUUGGAAAAUCCACAAGGUCCGCGUCGGCGGCUGCCCCGUGCCGAGGCGGUGGCAGAGAUGCCCCGCACAAGCAACAUGGAGCCGGCAUUUCAGCGAGCACCUAAGGGGCGUCCUGAAUAAGCUUGCACCAGCAACCUAAGUACCUAAUGGACACCAGGGGGGCGCACUAAUCGACUGGUGGCACGACAGCAAGCCGGCGGGAGGGAGAAAGGAUCACCUGAGUGCCCGCCCUCGUCUUCCUUGGCUCCGGCCAAGGCCCGGUGCCGCCGUUUUUUCCUCUAUCCUGAGGUUAGUCUCUACUCACAAGUCACAAAUUGUGCUUACCUGGGGCAUACCAUUGAUGCGGCGAUCACAUACCUGGUAAAAAAUGGAUUGCACUCCAAGCUCUCGUUGUAAAUCUGAAGCAACGAGCAAAGUGCAUACUAGCUGCAAAGGGGAGGGGGGAUAUUUAGACAGACAAGUCUUACAUGAUUUACAUGUUGCUAUUCCAAGUCAACAAUAGUACCAUACAGCUUUCGCUGCGGACAGGACUUCUCUGCCUUUAGACAAGUCUUCUUUUUUGCUUUCCAGCUAAAGUCACCAUCAGAGCAGAAAUUGGCUUUUGUGUACACAAAUAUUCCCUUCGUCUCAAAAUAAGUGUCUCAAUCUUAGUACAAUUUUGGCUUUUGUGUACGAUGUGAGGGCUGCUUCUGGGAGGCUACUGGACGUGGCUGUUGGGAUGUGAGAGCCAGACAGGACCAAACUUCUUUGGCGAAUGGGCAAUGCAGAAUCAAAUGGUUUGCAAUUGGAGCACUUGAUCACAGAGCUUGCAAGCAUCAUCAUGGUCCAUCCCAAUUCCCAAGGCUGUUAGUCGAUCAGCUGCACAGGAACCAUAUGGAGAACUGUCACUUUCCUUCCACCUUGGCUCUCCACUCAAUGAAUUCUGCUUCUGUGGACUUCUAGCGAGAAAUUGGAAAUCAUAAGCAGUCUUUGCUGAAUACUGCCCAUCGGUGGUAAGCUUCCUGGAAACUGAGCUUGGUUGUUGACCGAGAACGACACUCUGGGUCAAGUUUCAAAGUCCAAGGCAGUGCAUCAGUUGAGCUGGAAUGAAUAAAAUAGGCAAGCAGUCUAUCAAGGGAGAAAACGCCCAGUCAAUCCUCUCUUAAUUUUCAACACUAGUGACUAGUAUGCAUUCUGUUAACUGAUCCAUCAUUCAGAACUAUAAUGGCGUUGGGUGUGUGUACCUUUCAAAUAGCCUAGAUAGUGUAAAAGAAGGAGCCUUACUAAUUUGAGGUGGAGUCCUGUUGCUUGCCAGCCUAAAAACCUCUAUAUCCAAGCACCACCACGAGUUACUCACAAAGUUCAAACUCCCAUGCUCCUUCCAGCUCUGGGUGGCUGGGUAUUCUUCCAAGCUCCCAUCCAUGGCUCCUCUUGCCUUCCUCCUCCUAUUCGGCCAAAUCCUACUCUGCACAGCCAUCGACACCAUCAACUCCACCACACCGUUGUCCGGGUCACAGAAGAUUGUGUCCCAGGGCAGCAAGUUCACCUUGGGCUUCUACUCUCCACCACAAGGUAAGACCACCACUUUCCGCUACUACAUAGCCAUAUGGUAUAGCACUGUACCACUGGUGACCACCGUGUGGACGGCAACCACCGACGUGGUGGUGUCUGACCCGACCACCGCCUCCUUGGAAAUUGCCGGCGACGGCAAUCUUGUCCUCCGUCAUAUAGCCACGAACCGGCAGCUAUGGUCGACUAAUUUAAGUAUAGCCUCCAACUCCACCAUGGCCAUCAUCAGGGACAGCGGUAGCCUGGAACUAACCGAUGCCUCCAAUUCAUCCAUGGUUUAUUGGCAAAGCAUAGACCAUCCCACGAACACCUUUCUUCCAGGGUCCAAGCUCGGGCUGAACAAAACUACGGGUCUGAGCCAGAAGCUUGUUCCUUGGAAGAACAACGUAGACCCAUCUCCUGGGUUGUUCUCUCUGGAGCUUGACCCCAAUGGCAGCACGCAGUACUUCAUUCGGUGGAAUGAAUCCGUAAACUACUGGACCAGUGGCCUCUGGGACGGCAAUAGAUUCAGCCAUAUGCCAGAGAUGACGGCCGAUUACGUUUACGACUUCCAAUUCGUCAACAACGCCAAAGAAAGCUACUUCUACUACUCGAUGAAGAAUGAUUUAGUAGUCUCGCGGUUCAUCAUUGACGUGACCGGACAGAUCAAGCAGCUGUCAUGGUUGGAUUCCAGACAGCAGUGGGUCUUGUUCUGGGCCCAGCCACGGACUCAGUGUGAGGUGUAUGCUCUCUGUGGGGCAUACGGCUGCUGCAGCCUUGAUGCCCUGCCGUACUGCAACUGUGUCAAGGGGUUCAGCCAGAAGGUUCAGAGUGACUGGGAUCUCCAGGAUUAUAGUGGUGGGUGCAAGAGGAACACACCAUUGCAGUGCCAGACCAACUCGACUUCUGCACAAACUCCGUCUGAUAAGUUCCAUCUCAUGGAAGAUGUGCGCCUACCUGAUAACGCUCAGGGUGCAGUGUCUACAAGCUCUCAGGAAUGUGAGGUGGUUUGUCUGAAUAGUUGCUCUUGCACAGCUUACACUUACAAUUACACUGGGUGCUUUGUUUGGCAUGGGGACCUGAUUAAUCUCCAAGAACAAUACAGGGGAAUUGGAGGAGGCACACUCCUCCUCAGGCUUGCAGCAUCCGAGCUGCCAGAUCAGCAAAGGAACAAAACAAUGGUCAUUGGUUCAAUUGUUGGUGGGGUUGCUGCAGUUUUGAUAACCCUUGCAAUUGUGUUGUUCUUUCUAUCUCGGACGUGCCGCCGAGACAGGACUUUUCGGAUAUCCAAGACUGACUUCAGAUACAGUGAUCUGCUGGAUGAUAUUCAAAGCAUUGAUUCACUUCUUCUUGAUCUGUCAACACUAAGAGUAGCUACAAAUGACUUUGGUGAAGGAACUAUGCUUGGUAAAGGAGGUUUUGGGAUGGUUCAUAAGGGAGUCCUGCCUGACGGUAAACAAAUAGCAGUAAAAAGGCUAUGUAAGAGUUCCAAACAAGGAAUAGGGGAACUGAAAAGUGAACUAGUCCUGGUUGCUAAGCUUCGCCACAGGAAUCUUGUGAGCCUCAUUGGUGUUUGUUUGGAAGAACAAGAGAAAAUACUUGUGUAUGAAUUUAUGCCCAACAGAAGCCUUGAUACCAUUCUUUUUGGUACAACUUUUUCACUCCGAGCUUUAAUAGUAGUAGUGCAAGUGCCACCAAACUUUCACUGCAAUGCUGAUACUUCUAUUCUGAAUGACAGAUUCUGAGAAAUGCAAAGACCUAGACUGGGGAAGGAGAUUCAAGAUUAUCAGUGGAGUUACUAGGGGAUUACAAUAUCUCCACGAAGAUUCUCAAUUGAAGAUAGUUCACCGGGACCUGAAAGCAAGCAAUAUUUUGUUGGACCUCGAUUGUAACCCUAAGAUUUCUGACUUUGGCUUAGCAAAGAUAUUUGGAGGGGAUCAAUCAGAAGAUGUCACUAGACGUAUUGCCGGGACAUAUGGAUAUAUGUCGCCUGAAUAUGCCAUGCAUGGUCAAUACUCAGCAAAGUCGGACGCGUUCAGCUUCGGUGUUUUAGUUUUGGAGAUCGUCACGGGAAGAAGAAACAACGGCUCCUGCAACUCCGGGCAAUAUGUUUAUCUCGUAAAUCUUGUAUGGGAACACUGGACCAGGGGAAAUGUUGUCGAGUUGAUCGAUCCAUCCCUUAGCGGCCAUCCUUCUCACGUUGACCAGGUGCUGAAAUGCAUCCGAAUCGGGCUGCUGUGUGUGCAGAACAGACCUGAAGAUAGGCCGACAAUGUCGUCCGUGAAUGUCAUGCUCAGCAACCAGAGUGCUCGUCUCCCUUCUGUUUCCAUGCCAGCCUUCUCUGACGGAUGUAGUGGAUGCAGUGAUAAUACUUCAAAAGUGGCGUCCUCGAAUGGAAUGACCAUCACAAAGCUCGAGCCAAGAUGAGGCUUGAAGCAUUUGCUGAAACCAGCUUGUACUAGUGUUACUUUACUGUCUUUUAGAGAUGAGCUUGAUGUACCUGGUGCGUAUGUUUCAUGGUUAUGAUGAAAAGUCUUACACGCCUCCAAGGUUAUCUUCAGUGUCAGUUUUGCUGUGGAAUGGGAUUAUGGUAUUGCUGCUGGAGAAAAUGUCAGUAGUAUUAUUAGCUGUGAUAUGCGGCUCAUACAAAUGCAUGUACAUCAAUAGUUAAUUUGCAGCCUUUCCAUUUUGGCUAUCUUCUAAUAUUAGCUUUCGUUCUGUAAAA